rnacentral:rRNA from 1 species
UGUUCAAAGCAGUGAGGGGAUAUUGGUCAAUAGCCUGGCAGCUGAACCAGCAACUUGGAUGAAUGUAUAGGGAAAACUGGUAAAAUGUGAUGUACCUAGUAAUAUUAGAAAUUAAUAUGAGAUUAACUAAGUUAAUUAAAGUUCUAAAUAGAUAUCUGAUUAUGACAAUAUCUAUAUAAGUCUUGACCAAGUCACGUGCCAGCAGUCGCGGUAAUACGUGGUAGACGAGUGUUAUUCAUCUUUAAUGGGUUUAAAGGGUACCUAGACGGUUAAUUAAGCAAACACAUGUACUAAUUAACUAGAGUUUAAUGUAAGAAGGAUUGAGUACGGUGAGUGGAGAAAUAGAAUUCUUUGAUACCGCUUAGGAACUGACAAAGGCGAAGGCAACCUUCAAUGUAAAAACUGACGUUAAGGGACGAAGGCUCAUAUGAAAUAAUAGGAUUAGAUACCCUAGUAUUGUGGGCAGAAAAUGAUGAGUGUCAUAUGCAAGGUAUUUUUUGUGUAUAAAUGAAAGUGUAAGCACUCCACCUCAAGAGUAACGUGGCAACAUGGGAACUGAAAUCAUUAGACCGUUUCUGAAACUCGUAGUGAAGUAUGUUGUUUAAUUUGAUGGUCCACAAAUAACCUUACCACAAUUUGUAUAACUAUGAUAUUAUAAAAAAUAGUUACAAGCGUUGCACGGCUGUCUUCAGUCAAUGUUGUGAAACUUUGGUUAGAUCCAUUGAAUUGACGUAAACCCUUACUUUAUUUAUUAUAAAGUAGUUCGCCGCUAUAUUGGUAGUGAUAUAUGGGACUAGGACAAGUCAUCAUGACCUGACCAUUGUGGGCUAUAGACGUGCCACAU